rnacentral:rRNA from 1 species
UACGUAGGCAGCGAGCGUUGUUCGGAGUUACUGGGCGUAAAGAGUGCGUAGGCGGUUUUCUAAGUUUGGUGUGAAAUCUCCCGGCUUAACUGGGAGGGUGCGCCGAAGACUGGAAGGCUUGAGUAUGGGAGAGGUAAGCGGAAUUCCUGGUGUAGCGGUGAAAUGCGUAGAGAUCGGGAGGAACAUCAGUUGCGAAGGCGGCUCUCUGGACCAGCACUGACACUGAGGCACGAAAGCGUGGGGAGCAAACAGG